UGGCGGACGGGUGAGUAACGCGUGAGGUAACCUGCCGUAUACCGGGGGAUAACACUUAGAAAUAGGUGCUAAUACCGCAUAAGCGCACGGCUCCGCAUGGGGCAGUGUGAAAAACUCCGGUGGUAUACGAUGGAUCCGCGUCUGAUUAGCUAGUUGGCGGGGUAACGGCCCACCAAGGCAGCGAUCAGUAGCCGGCCUGAGAGGGUGGACGGCCACAUUGGGACUGAGACACGGCCCAAACUCCUACGGAAGGCAGCAG
rnacentral:rRNA from 1 species